CGGGUGAGUAACGCGUGAGGAACCUGCCUCAAAGAGGGGGACAACAGUUGGAAACGACUGCUAAUACCGCGUAAGCCCACGGCUCGGCAUCGAGCAGAGGGAAAAGGAGCAAUCCGCUUUGAGAUGGCCUCGCGUCUGAUUAGCUAGUUGGUGAGGUAAUGGCCCACCAAGGCGGCGAUCGGUAGCCGGACUGAGAGGUUGAACGGCCACAUUGGGACUGAGACACGGCCCAG
rnacentral:rRNA from 1 species